rnacentral:rRNA from 1 species
UACGGGGGGGGUAAGCGUUGUUCGGAAUUACUGGGCGUAAAGGGCUCGUAGGCGGCCAACUAAGUCAGACGUGAAAUCCCUCGGCUCAACCGGGGAACUGCGUCUGAUACUGGGUGGCUUGAAUCCGGGAGAGGGAUGCGGAAUUCCAGGUGUAGCGGUGAAAUGCGUAGAUAUCUGGAGGAACACCGGUGGCGAAGGCGCCAACUCUGGGCCGAAACUGACGCUGAGGAGCGAAAAGCGUGGGUAGCAAACAGG